GUGAGCAAACACCUGGUCACAACAGAAGUUGAGCAAAGCAAAGCCUCUCAGCUUUGAGUGGCAACAGAGAUCAGAAAGUAGUGCUAUAAACCAGUGUCCCUGCUUCUUUCUCCUAAUUAGUGAUUCACUUAACAGAGACUGAUAAGGUUAUAGUUCGAGUUACAGCUCAAGUUGUCAGUGCAGGAGCAGCUGGGUUCUCAGCUCACCAGGCAAACAAAACUACAGAGAAAUGCUUAGGGGAACAGAGAAUGCAGCACAGUGCUUGGUCAGGUCCCUUCUCCCUACUUCCCAGACAGCUGCUCAUAGAGUUUCGGCACAUAGUCAUCCCACUCUGCCUGGUAGCAAGUGCCAGCCACCGGCACCCCCAGCCCAUACUUGCUGCGGAAAGCUGCUACCUUGAACUUCCCUCGUUUGUCACCAGAGCGAUUGGACAGGAUGGGCUCAUUGCAGGUCAGCUGCUUUGGCUGCUCGUACACCAGCCACACGUAGCGGUGCAGCCCUGUUCCUUUAGGGGGCCCCGAGCCCACGUAGUCUGACAGCACGGUCCCGCUCCCCACAUCGUUACCUUUCAUGUUGGUCACCAGGAAGUGAUGCCAUUCUCUGAACUUCGGAUCCUUCCUACUGGGCGCGUCGGGGUCGGUGAGCACCAGCGUGUAGAGCUUCUGGGGGUCGCAGCCGUCCCACUCGAUGCUGGUGGGUCGGUGCUGCACCUGCGUAGGCGUGAGCACCUUGCCCAGCUCGUCUAUCUCCACGGAGCCAUACUUGACGCGCAGCGGGUGCGCGGGUUUCUGCUCCACCUCGCUCAGGCUCAGCGGCCCGUCCCACAGCCCCAGCUCCACCGGCAUGGCCGCUCCGCGCACCGCGCUCGGGCUGCGUGACAGCCGCGCCGCGCGAUCACCGCUUGCCCUUCGGCCC
rnacentral:lncRNA from 1 species